AGUAUGGAGGUUCCUUAAAAAACUAAAAAUAGAACUACCAUAUGACCCAGCAAUCCCACUACUGGGCAUAUACCCUGAGAAAACCAUAACUCAAAAAGAGUCAUGUACCAAAAUGUUCAUUGCAGCUCUAUUUACAAUAUCCAGGACAUGGAAGCAACCUAAGUGUCCAUCGACAGAUGAAUGGAUAAAGAAGAUGUGGCACAUAUAUACAAUGGAAUAUUACUCAGCCAUAAAAAGAAAUGAAAUUGAGUUAUUUGUAGUGAGGUGGAUGGACCUAGAGUCUGUUAAUACAGAGUGAAAAAACGAUCUGGAGUCAGGAUUCAAAUUGUGCAGGGAAGAAUGAAAGAGGGGUGGUUUGACAGAGAAGAGGAUGGAAUUACACUGAUCACAGAAGACAGUGAUUGCAAAAGCACAGAGAUCAAGAUUCUUUGAGGAUUAUAUUUUUUAUGCAGCUAAAACGCUUAACGUAGUUCCUGGC